rnacentral:tRNA from 1 species
GGUGUUGUGACUCAGUGGUAGAGUGUUCACCUCGCAUGUAUAAGGCACUGGGUUUGAUCCUCAGCACCA